rnacentral:rRNA from 1 species
GACGAACGCUGGCGGCGUGCCUAAUACAUGCAAGUAGAACGCUGAAGGAGGAGCUUGCUCUUCUGGAUGAGUUGCGAACGGGUGAGUAACGCGUAGGUAACCUGCCUGGUAGCGGGGGAUAACUAUUGGAAACGAUAGCUAAUACCGCAUAACAUUGACUAUUGCAUGAUAGUCAAUUGAAAGGUGCAAAUGCACCACUACCAGAUGGACCUGCGUUGUAUUAGCUAGUUGGUGGGGUAACGGCUCACCAAGGCGACGAUACAUAGCCGACCUGAGAGGGUGAUCGGCCACACUGGGACUGAGACACGGCCCAGACUCCUACGGGAGGCAGCAGUAGGGAAUCUUCGGCAAUGGACGGAAGUCUGACCGAGCAACGCCGCGUGGGUGAAGAAGGUUUUCGGAUCGUAAAGCUCUGUUGUAAGAGAAGAACGAGUGUGAGAGUGGAAAGUUCACACUGUGACG